UACGAAGGGGACUAGCGUUGUUCGGAAUUACUGGGCGUAAAGCGCACGUAGGCGGAUUUGUUAGUCAGGGGUGAAAUCCCGGGGCUCAACCUCGGAACUGCCUUUGAUACUGCAAGUCUCGAGUCCGAUAGAGGUGGGUGGAAUUCCUGGUGUAGCGGUGAAAUGCGCAGAUAUCAGGAGGAACACCAAUGGCGAAGGCAGCUCGCUGGGACGGUACUGACGCUGAGGCGCGAAAGCCAGGGGAGCAAACGGG
rnacentral:rRNA from 1 species